GAGUUGUUAGCUCAGUCGGUAGAGCAACGCCCUUUUAAGGCGUGGGUCCUGGGUUCGAGCCCCAGACAACUCACCA
rnacentral:tRNA from 1 species